rnacentral:rRNA from 1 species
CGUAGGGUGCAAGCGUUGUCCGGAAUUAUUGGGCGUAAAGAGCUCGUAGGCGGUUCGUCGCGUCGGCUGUGAAAACCCGAGGCUCAACCUCGGGCCUGCAGUCGAUACGGGCGGACUGGAGUUCGGCAGGGGAGACUGGAAUUCCUGGUGUAGCGGUGAAAUGCGCAGAUAUCAGGAGGAACACCGGUGGCGAAGGCGGGUCUCUGGGCCGAUACUGACGCUGAGGAGCGAAAGCGUGGGGAGCGAACAGGAUUAGAUACCCUGGUAGUCCACGCCGUAAACGUUGGGCGCUAGGUGUGGGGGCCAUUCCACGGUCUCCGUGCCGCAGCUAACGCAUUAAGCGCCCCGCCUGGGGAGUACGGCCGCAAGGCUA